rnacentral:rRNA from 1 species
GUGCCAGCAGCCGCGGUAAUACGUAGGGUGCGAGCGUUGUCCGGAAUUACUGGGCGUAAAGAGCUCGUAGGCGGUUUGUCACGUCGUCUGUGAAAUCCCUCGGCUUAACCGGGGGCGUGCAGGCGAUACGGGCAGACUUGAGUACUACAGGGGAGACUGGAAUUCCUGGUGUAGCGGUGAAAUGCGCAGAUAUCAGGAGGAACACCGGUGGCGAAGGCGGGUCUCUGGGUAGUAACUGACGCUGAGGAGCGAAAGCAUGGGUAGCGAACAGGAUUAGAUACCCUGGUAGUCCAUGCCGUAAACGGUGGGCGCUAGGUGUGGGGUCCUUCCACGGACUCCGUGCCGUAGCUAACGCAUUAAGCGCCCCGCCUGGGGAGUACGGCCGCAAGGCUAAAACUCAAAGGAAUUGACGG